AUUAAUACGAUGAUUAAAGUACCGCGGUUCAGGACAGGAUGACCUACUGUGCAGAUUGGAUCUUAAACGGAGUUUGCAACAAAAACACCAUUUCUGCAAGCUCAAUAUAAAUAGGAAAAUAUUGGUUGUGUGUCGUGUCUGCUGGGAUGAAAUUCGGAAGAGUUCCGCUGAUUGCUUCGGAUCAUUAUCCAUUAUGUGCUAAACUCCGACGUUUACAUCAUUUAUAUCAACUCCAUGAAUGCAAAUUGCUUCGAAAAAUGUGUAUUUAUUGGUCUGUGACAACAAAGACAACUUUCCAAUUACCAGAGCCACAGCCCUGAUGGAUCUAACAGGUACGGCAAUGUCCCGAGGUUGGAGGUCACAAAUAAGAACCUGCUGAAUGGCUUCGUGCUCCAUGAAACAGUCCCGACGCGGGUGCGACGCGACACUAUGGUGCAGAACAUCAGCUUACCCGACACUAGAUUAGCACACAUCAUUGCACCCCGAUCGAUGAAACUGCUUUUUUAUGAAGAAUCUCGGUAUAAUCUACAAUGCACAAUGCGACAAUUAGAUGUCUAGUGCAGGACCUACCUGAUAAAAACAAGCCUGGGAUCAAGUGUGGUGGAUCUGAUAAUGAGGGUGGCGUCUGCACGACGGAUGACAAAAUCAAGAUUAUUUUUCACGGAUAACAAGCUGCAACAAGGUAUCGAUAUACAGAAGUUACAAAAGUGACGGAGGAUUUAGUCGCUGUACGACAAUUUCUACUGAAAGCAACAAUUUGGACUCGAAGAUUGUGCGUUUAUCUUCAGGUCUGGUGAAUAAUGUAUCAAAAGAUACCCGGUACAUUGCAUCCACUCGUAAGACAGGUUGGUGAGGACCAUGGAUCAUGGAACGAGUCAAGUGCUUGCGCUUACUAGAAUAGUACUGGUACCACGUACACCAUCGUUAGCCCGUACCCACAUCUUCACUUCGCAGAAUUUGAAGCUUCAUCACACUCAUCACUUUCACUGCCUUCAUUCUUUAUCAUCUACCUGAUGGUGUCAACAUGUAUCGCUUGUCAAUGAAUUCAACUAACCUAAAGGAUAAUGUGAAGUUGGCUGAACCGCAAUGGGAACAUGUCUGUAUGAAGAGUGACCAAACCUAUGCUGUGGACCAUAUUGAAAUUUAAUCUCUUCCAGACAACGGAGUUUCUGGUGGCUGUCAAUUUUUGAGCUGAUGUUCCACAAUCAGCAUGAUGGAAUACAUUCACGUAAUAGUAGGCAUUCAUUGAGUGAUCUCCGCUUGCUCGUCACCGGAGCGUUCGUCGUUAACGACGAUAUGCCCCAAGAAUACGAAGUUGCCUAAUAGCGAGCCUAGACGAUCCGUAUAAACCGUUGAACAAUAUGUUUGUAUAUUUCAAAAUAUCUGUAAUGCGUCAAUGUAUAUCUGUAUUUUAUUAAAUCAAAAUAUAUUUAACA